GACGAACGCUGGCGGCGUGCUUAACACAUGCAAGUCGAACGGAAAGGCCCUGCUUUUGUGGGGUGCUCGAGUGGCGAACGGGUGAGUAACACGUGAGUAACCUGCCCUUGACUUUGGGAUAACUUCAGGAAACUGGGGCUAAUACCGGAUAGGAGCUCCUGCUGCAUGGUGGGGGUUGGAAAGUUUCGUCCGUUGGGGAUGGACGCGCGGCUUAUCAGCUUGUUGGUGGGGUAGUGGCUUACCAAGGCUUUGACGGGUAGCCGGCCUGAGAGGGUGACCGGCCACAUUGGGACUGAGAUACGGCCCAGACUCCUACGGGAGGCAGCAGUGGGGAAUAUUGCACAAUGGGCGGAAGCCUGAUGCAGCAACGCCGCGUGCGGGAUGACGGCCUUCGGGUUGUAAACCGCUUUCGCCUGUGACGAAGCGUGAGUGACGGUAAUGGGUAAAGAAGCACCGGCUAACUACGUG
rnacentral:rRNA from 1 species